CACGUAGGGUGCGAGCGUUGUCCGGAAUUAUUGGGCGUAAAGAGCUCGUAGGCGGUGUGUCGCGUCGGCCGUGAAAACCUGUGGCUUAACUGCGGGCUUGCAGUCGAUACGGGCAUCACUGGAGUUCGGCAGGGGAGACUGGAAUUCCUGGUGUAGCGGUGAAAUGCGCAGAUAUCAGGAGGAACACCGGUGGCGAAGGCGGGUCUCUGGGCCGAUACUGACGCUGAGGAGCGAAAGCGUGGGGAGCGAACAGG
rnacentral:rRNA from 1 species